GAUGAAGAACGUAGUGAAAUGCGAUAAGUAAUGUGAAUUGCAGAAUUCAGUGAAUCAUCGAAUCUUUGAACGCACAUUGCGCCCGCCAGUAUUCUGGCGGGCAUGCCUGUUCGAGCGCCAUUUCAACCAUCAAGCCCCAGGCUUGUGUUGGGGACCUGCGGCUGCCGCAGGCCCUGAAAACCAGUGGCGGGCUCGCUGUCACACCGGGCGUAGUAGAUUUUAUCUCGCUCAGGGCGUGCUGCGGGUUCCGGCCGUUAAAAAGCCUUUUUUACCCAAGGUUGACCUCGGAUCAGGUAGGAAGACCCGCUGAACUUAAGCAUAUCAAUAAGCGGAGGA
rnacentral:misc_RNA from 1 species